rnacentral:lncRNA from 1 species
GAUGAGAUCCCUUCACUUUCUAGUAAAAGGCAAGGAGGACAUUUUGCUAGAAAUCACUCCUGCGGUGAUGAGAUCCCUUCACUUUUUAGCCACGGGCAAGGCCGAUAUUCUUCUAAAAACCUCCAGUAUGCUGACGAGAUCCCUUCGCUUUCUAAACAAGUCCAAGUUGGAUACUCUUCUAGAAAUCACCACUAUGGUGAUGAGAUCCCUUCACUUUCUAGCCAAGGGCAAGGCCNUAAUCCUUCAGCUUAUCUACUAACCUAUUUCAUUUUAAUUUGAGGUAUUUUAGUAGUUAAUUUAAGGCAUUUCCGUACACACCAAGAAACUAUUUCUUUCUUUUUAAUCAAGGUCCGCACAACAUGUGAUUGUAAAAUUAGGCAGCAAUUCCUUUACGAAUGAACCGUCGAGCAGGUGACUCGUUUAACUAUUUAUGUAGCUAUGCUUUAUUCUACCUUGAUUUGUUUGUUUGUUUUUUUUUUUUUCAAUAUACUCAUAUUUAAGUGAUAUUUAUUGCUGUAAGCUAAAGUCUUGCUACAUUUGUGAAAGAUAGAAAAUUGAUAACAGGGUUCUGUAUAAUAAUUUUUUUUUUUAUUUGCACACUUGACUUCUAAUUUGUUAUAAUGAAUGCUUCAGGCUCAACCGCCCUCUGUUAGAUCUACUCAACUUCACCGCUACAGCGACGAGAUCCCUUCACUCUCUAGUCAUGGGCAAUGCCGAUUUGUUCAUAAAAAUCACCAAUAUGGUGAUGAGAUCCCUUCACUUUCUAGGCACCGGCAAGGCCGAAAUUUUCCUAAAAAUCAUCGCUAUGGUGACGAGAUUCCUUCACUUUCUAGGCAUGGGCAACGCCAAUUCUCUCCUAAAAAUGAUCACUAUGGUGAUGAGAUCCCUUCACUUUCUAGCCAUGGGCAAGGCCGAUUCUCUCCUAAAAAUGAUCACUAUGGUGAUGAGAUCCCUUCACUUUCUAGUAAAAGGCAAGGAGGACAUUUUGCUAGAAAUCACUCCUGCGGUGAUGAGAUCCCUUCACUUUUUAGCCACGGGCAAGGCCGAUAUUCUUCUAAAAACCUCCAGUAUGCUGACGAGAUCCCUUCGCUUUCUAAACAAGUCCAAGUUGGAUACUCUUCUAGAAAUCACCACUAUGGUGAUGAGAUCCCUUCACUUUCUAGCCAAGGGCAAGGC